GAUGAACGCUGGCGGCGUGCCUAAUACAUGCAAGUCGAGCGAACGGACGAGGAGCUUGCUCCUCUGAUGUUAGCGGCGGACGGGUGAGUAACACGUGGAUAACCUACCUAUAAGACUGGGAUAACUUCGGGAAACCGGAGCUAAUACCGGAUAACAUGUUGAACCGCAUGGUUCAACAGUGAAAGACGGUCUUGCUGUCACUUAUAGAUGGAUCCGCGCCGCAUUAGCUAGUUGGUAAGGUAACGGCUUACCAAGGCAACGAUGCGUAGCCGACCUGAGAGGGUGAUCGGCCACACUGGAACUGAGACACGGUCCAGACUCCUACGGGAGGCAGCAGUAGGGAAUCUUCCGCAAUGGGCGAAAGCCUGACGGAGCAACGCCGCGUGAGUGAAGAAGGUCUUCGGAUCGUAAAACUCUGUUAUUAGGGAAGAACAAAUGUGUAAGUAACUAUGCACGUCUUGACGGUACCUAAUCAGAAAGCCACGGCUAACUACGUG
rnacentral:rRNA from 1 species